GACAUUUUAUUUGUGUGAAACAAAUAUAUUUAUUAAAAGGGAUAUUUUGAAUGAUAUGCAUAACUGCUAAAUUUGAGUUUACUUAUUUGGAUUUCUGAAACUGCAAAAAGCAUAUAUGUACAUAGAAUAUCCUAAAAUAAAUAAAAACUUUAACUAAAUGCAUUCAUUAUUCCAAACACAAAUGGGAAACCAAAUGCAUAAAAACGGUUUCGCUUUAUUGGUGUCUCGUAGCGCAGCUGGAGUAUGAACCAAAUAAUUUUUAGAAGACAAAGCAUUUGAAUAUGUGCAGCAGUCAAAUGUAAUUCGAGUGAAAAAAUAUGCAUUAGAAGCUUAACUAAAUAAAAUAUAAUUUAUACAGAAUAAAAUUGGAUUUGAACGAGAAUAAAAUACGUAAGGUAGUGGGCAAUUUAGUGAAACUUCCGAUUGUAAUUUAAAUGAUUCAAACACGCAAUCUGAGCUCAGGCAGAUGGUAAAAUAUGUUACUAAAACAUUAAAUAAAUAUGUAAACAUAUAGCCAUAUAAGGGAUUUAUAAACCUAUAUACUUGCAUAUCAGCUACAAAAUUCAGUAAACGGAUUUGCACAAUCACUACCUUGUGCGGUAGAAGAUAAGUGAAACAACGAGUAACAAAAUUGUUGCAAGAUAACAAAAUUGUUGUUAGAUAAUGCAGAUACAAAAUAUAAAAAAACAAACAAAAGAAAUUCAGUCCGAAGACAUCUAUUAGAUUGAUAGUAACGUAACAUUACAAAGCAGUGUAAGCAUCAUAGUACGAGAACCAUAUGAGUGAAGCGAAACAAUUUAUGUUGACUAAAUAGUUCAAGUGAACAGCUACAUACCUUCCAGAAGUGGUCAAUGCUCAACAAAUUGCAAAUUAAGCUUAACUCUAGAAAGAAUAAAUAUCACAAAACAAUAGUUUUGGUAUCUAACAAAGUCAACAGUCAACCAAGCGAUUAACUGAACAACGAGUGCAGAACUCAAAGCCAAUUGUCUCUAAGAUGAUGUUGCAUGCAACAUUUUUUCCAUGAACUUGGCCACUGUUGCUUAUGUCUACCAACCAAAUGUUAAUAGGUACUCUGAUUUUCGACAUCAAGGCUGAGACCAGAACCAAUACUAGGAGACAGAAAAAAAUAUUAUGAACAAUGAAAUGAAAACUCUAAGUGCCAGCAUGACAUGCACUGAAUUAACUAAAACCAAACUUAAAGAGAAUAUACACAUCAUUAAGGCAAAUUUCGUAAAUCUGUAACCAAUUAUGGAAAAUAUAAAACA